UACAGAUGGGAACUAAAGCACAGAGGUUACAUGGACUGUCCCCGGGCACACAGCUGAUAAACAGGAGUUUGAAGUUCUCCGUCUCUAAAGCAUGCUAGGACUGGGACAUUAGAAGGGUCUUUCUGGCUGUGCUACAACCUGCUCUGUAGACCAGGCUGGCCUCGAACUCCUAGAGACUCAACUGCCUCUGCCUCCUUAGUGCUGGGAUUAAAGGCGAGCGCCACCACCAGCCAGCUAAUUGUGUUUAUUCUUUGCUGUGCGGGUUGUUCCCGCAGAAUCUUUUGACAUGAGUAAGUACUAUCCCUUUGGUUGGGAGAGCACUAGAAGCCACCACACUUGGAAGAGUGACGCGUGGAUUGAUUGGAGGUCAUUUGUGGAAUUCUAUGGAAUCUGUUGAUGCUGAACUGAGAGUCAUCCUAAUGUAGAAGAGGACCUGUCAUCCCUCAGAUGUCUCACAAAGACAGUCCAAAUUUUGACUCUACUCAUGACGUAGCAGUGACCUCGUGUCUGUUUUCCCAGAAUGUUGGACAGAAUAAGGUUUUAUAAACUAUCCACCUUGGGGGAGUUGUAA